UACGUAGGGUGCAAGCGUUAAUCGGAAUUACUGGGCGUAAAGCGUGCGCAGGCGGUUUCGUAAGACAGAUGUGAAAUCCCCGGGCUCAACCUGGGAACUGCGUUUGUGACUGCGAGACUCGAGUGUGGCAGAGGGGGGUGGAAUUCCACGUGUAGCAGUGAAAUGCGUAGAGAUGUGGAGGAGCACCGAUGGCGAAGGCAGCCCCCUGGGUCAAGAUUGACGCUCAUGCACGAAAGCGUGGGGAGCAAACAGG
rnacentral:rRNA from 1 species